GAGGGMAAGYCUGGUGCCAGCAGCCGCGGUAAUUCCAGCUCCAGUAGCGUAUAUUAAAGUUGUUGCAGUUAAAAAGCUCGUAGUUGGAUUUGUGGUGUUUUUUUUUUUAUUUGUUUCUACGGUCUUUUUUUUUGUUUUAAACAUUGAAUUAAGACUUGGAAGCGAGGACACCAUCCUUGACAGGUUUGAAAGUGAUAUUAUAUCACCGCAAACAUUGUCAUCCUUUACUUUGAAAAAAUUGGAGUGAUUCAAGCAGGCAAGAAUUAUAAUUUUAAUUUUAAUUUAACUUUGCUUCUGCACAUGUUAGCAUGGAAUAAUGCAAGAGGACUUGGGUUUUCUCUUUCAUUGGUUUCAGGAAUCCGAGUAAUGAUUGAUAGGGGCAGUUGGGGGUGCUCGUACUCGACGGCCAGAGGUGAAAUUCUUGGAUUCGUUGAAGACGAACAACUGCGAAAGCAUUCACCAAGGAUGUCUUCUUUAAUCAAGAACGAAAGUUGGGGGAUCGAAGAUGAUCAGAUACCGUCGUAGUCCCAACCAUAAACGAUGCCGACCAGGGAUCAGCGAGCGUUGACUUGGCGUUCUCCUUAUUUUCUCCCUUUUUGGGAGUAAUAUGUAGAUUUUGCCAACCUCAUUAAUUUGAAACGACCUCGUUGGCACCUUGCGAGAAAUCACCAGUCUUUGGGCUCCGGGGGGAGUAUGGUCGCAAGGCUGAAACUUAAAGGAAUUGACGGAAGGGCACAACCAGCAGUGGAGCCUGCGGCUUAAAUUGACUCAACACGGGGAAACUUACCAGGUCCAGACAUCAUAAGGAUUGACAGAUUGAAGHUCUUUCUUGAUUYKRUGG
rnacentral:rRNA from 1 species